rnacentral:ncRNA from 1 species
CGUUGUCGGUGCGACUGGCGACGAGAAUGGAACACCAUCGGGGAGCAUCGAUUUUUUUAGCCGCGCGCCCGGAUACCCGAU